AUGUUCGUUAAGGCGUGGGCGACGGCGUGUCGGGGCGAGAUGCCGGCUGCCACGCCGUGCUUCGACCGCUCGCUCGUCAAACUUCCCGGUGGCCAAGAUCUGGCCAGGAGCGGCUUGAGAAAGUUCGCGCCGAAUCUACCGUUGACGGCACCGCCAGCGUGGUUCACCCGUCGUACGUUCACCUUGGAUGUGCAGGACAUCCAACGCCUCAAGCAGCACAUCGUCCGUCUCGGCGUCGGCGAAGCAUCGUCCCACUCGCCCCGGCCUCGCCCCCCGUCCACCUUCGCCGCCGUCGCCGCGCUCGCAUGGACGUGCUUCAUCCGGUGCAGGCCGUUCAUCUCGGACGAGGAAGAAGCGCUGCUCAUCUUCCUCGCUGAUGUCCGUGACCGCCUCGAUCCUCCCGUCGAGGCGGGGUACAUCGGCGUGUGCCUCUGGCCGUGUCUCGUGAAGCUGCCCGCCGGGGAACUCCGCGGCCAGCGCGCCCUGGCGGCUGCAGCGUCGGCGAUCCGGGACGAGGUCCGCAAGAUGAGAGAGGUCCCAGUGGCCACGUGGGAUUUUCAGACGUCGUUGCUGGCCGGCCGCCCUAUGGACCGGCUGAUGAGUGUGUCGGGCUCGCCGCGCUUCAGCGCAUACGAGGACGCUGACUUCGGGUGGGGGAAGCCGAGGCGGACCGAGCCCAUCAGGAUGAACCACGACGGUCAGAUCGCGCUGAUGGGUGCCGGAGACGGCCACGGGGUGCAGGUGUCGGUGUCACUGCUGCAACCGGCGCAAAUGGACUUGUUCAAGUCUCACUUCCUCGACCUACUUGGUUUAACCAAAAACAAUUGA
rnacentral:rRNA from 1 species